rnacentral:lncRNA from 1 species
UUUCAAGGCAAACAGUAUCAGGAAAGUAAGCUGACAUUAGGGCAAUUCCUGAUAAAGCAAUAGGGGAGCAGCAAUGGAGUCACCCUCUCCCCUUUUUGGUACUUGUGGGUGCUCUGCCACUGAACUACAUUCCAGACCUUUUUUUAUUUUGAGAUAGGGUCUUGCUAAGUUGCUCAGGUGACCUUGAACUUGUGAUCCUCCUGCCUCACCCUCCUGAGUCGGUGGGAUUUCAGGAGUGCACCUCCAUGCCUAGUCCCCAUCCUCCAUUUUUUUUUUAAUGGAACCUCUUUCCUUCUGAAAUAAUCCCCGCCUUCUCUGGGCUCCCAUGGCACUUUGCCUCCACCUCCCUUGGAAAACUAGUCACGUUCUGCCUUGAAUGGAGCUUCCUCUACACAUGAGUUGUAAGCCACGGUACCUGGCAGGGUUAUUCUUAAAUCUCCAUAGGUACCCUUCUCUAGCCUUAAGGUUUGUAUCUCAGCAAGUUCGCAGGAGUCUUUUGCACAAUUAGUUUGGUGAUGUGUGUGGUUCCGUCUGUCAGUACAGCUGGUGCAGCUCCUUUCGAAGAAAGACCUCAACCAGUGCUGGUGUUGGCCUCCUCUUUCUCCCCCCACACUCCCUCCUCUGCCACCAUCACUGUCUGUCUCUCUGUCUUGACUUCUCUGGUUACUGGUGAAAGUAUUAAUUGUGUAUUCCUAUUGCUACUAACCAAUUUCAGGUAAGGCUUUCUGUUGAGAUUUUGUUUUUGUUUUGUUUUGUUU